CAUCCCACCGUUGGUGGAGGAAGAGAUAAACCUACCGUGACUUCGAACGAUUGAGCUCAAUAUUCUCCCUUCCUUCAAACUCUUUAGAAUCGAAGAUCUCCGGCGUCCUACGCCCGAUGGCGACGGUACGCGAAACAGCUGACCUCGUCUCUCUGACCUCUUCUUGAUCCAACCGUUGCUUCUUCUCUUAUAUUGUUUUUCUGCUUUUUUUCUUCACCUUCCCCUCUUUCCUGGAUUCUUGAUUUUCUUGAAAUUUGGAUUUAUUGUUCUCCUCCUUCACACUGUUGAGCCGGAUUUCUUUAUUUUAUUUUAUUUUAUUUUUUCUGUUGCUAAUCCAACCACUUUGUCUUUCUCCGAUUUAGAUUAGGGUUGUGAAACAAUUGUCUUUUCUAACCCCCUUUUAGUACGACAUAUUGUUGGUCUGAGGAACAUGAUAGAUAUGCUUCAUUAGCCCUGAUAUUUUGCGUUGUCCUUGGCUUCAGACCUUCUUGAAUUAAAGAAGUUGCAUUUCUUUGAUAAUGGGAAGCUUUUCUUGAAAUCUUAGCUUUGCCUGCGUUACGGGAAGAAGGAGCAUGUCAACAUCCAGACCUCUUUGAAUUAAAGAAGUUGCAUUUCUCUGAUUAUGGGAAGCAUUUCUUGAAAUCUUAGCUUUGCCUGCGUUAAGGGGAGAAGGAGCAUGUCAACAUUCAUACCUUUUUGAAUUAAAUAAGUUGCUUGUCUUUGAUAAUGGGAGGCGUUUCUUGAAAUCUAGCUUUGCCUGCGUUAAUGGAAGAAGGAGCAUCUCAACAUCCAGACCUUUUUGAAUUAGAGAAGUUGCAUUUCUUUGAUUAUGGGAAGCGUUUCUUGAAAUCUUAGCUUUUCCUGCGUUAAGGGAAGAAGGGGCAUCUCAACAGCCAGACCUUUUUGAAUUAAAGAAGUUGCAUUUCUUUGAUUAUGGAAAGCGUCUCUUGAAAUCUUAGCUUUGCGUGCGUUAAGGGAAGAAGGAGCAUGUCAACAGCCAGGAGGAGAUCCUGUUCUCAGAGACAGCGAUGCUCAGAAGCAAUGCAGUUGCGAAGAAAAUCUUUGCCACAUGAAAAUGCACUGCACCGCACGGUUAUUCUUUACCAGGUAGCAAGGAGAUAUGCCCGAAAUAUAUCAUGGGUAAUGCUUAGUGUUGUUUGUUGCUUGGCCGCCUCUACAACCAGAAUCCUAUGUUCCAGAAAUGCGCAUGCGUGUAAUGGAAUCUAAAACAUGGGUGGAGCAUACUCUGGGCAGGAAAUUUGCUGGGUUUGUAAUUACUUUAAGGUGCCAACCGACCAUCACUGUGCUCUCAUGCAUAUAUUCAAACUUACAAAAGGCUGGGGUUGCCCAGAUGA